rnacentral:lncRNA from 1 species
AGAAAAAAGUCGAUACGAUCCAAACGGGGUGUAACAAAUUGGCGCUAGAAAAUUAGUCCUAUAUUUUAAACUUUCUGAAAUCUGAACUGCCGCGAUCGUUUUUUCCAAAUCCCUAAUUCUCUGUAGAUCCUUUCUAAAAGAGCCAUGUGAAGAAGAAUUAAAACUAUCUAGGAAAAGGUCAGUGCCUUUCAUCAUCUUUUAAUAUGCGUAAUACUGAUACUUUCAAUUGUGAAACUUACAGUAUGGAGUAUUUGUAAUUAUUGUUUAUCUUAACCAUUUAAUUAAUUUGAUCGUUUUAGGAUCUGUAAACCCUGGAAUUUGAAAGAUUUUUGGGCAAUUGAAAUGUGAUUUUGUGAAUUUGAGGAAAUUAAUGUGGUUAUUAGGAGUACUAUUAAAUACUCCAUUAAAGAAAGGGAGAGAUUGUGAUUGCUUGUUUAGAGACAAAGCAACUUUAAUUAUUGUCUUGAAAUCAGCAAGGGUUUUGUUUUGCCUGUUUUUAUGAAAUUGUACGAUGUGAAUCAGAGCCUCAGAGGUGUAUGGAUUUGUGUGUUAGGAUUUUUUCAAGUGGCAAAAAUACCUCAAUGAUUACUUGGUUUUUUGUCAUAUUUUUUUUGCUAAAUGGUUUUUUGUCAUUUUUGUUACGAGUUGCUUUAAUUUUCCUAAUUCGAUUAGGUUGCAUUUGACUAUUCCUGCAUGAUUUCAAGCUCAACUGCUCUCCUCUGUUUACAUGCUCUGCCAGCACUCAAUUGUUCUGUUAAGGCUUUGGCAUUACUGCUCGGUUUUUAAUUCUUAUAUAAGAAUAAUACAUCCUGUUAACGCCAAGAUCUUUCCCCACGUCCCAAUCACCAAGACGCGUCCGAUAUCCUGCACAGUUCAACAAGUCAACACCAAAAGACCGUCGGGGGAUAGCUCCGGCGUGAGAGUCAGUAUCGGCGAUCACAAGGUUAACAAUGGAGGAAAAUAAUGUCUAGUGACUUGAGAGCAAUAAUUAAUUAGUUACCUUUCACCGUGUGUCAUCCUUGCUUUAUAUUUCCAAAAUCCGGUUUGUCCUGUAUGCAACUGGCUUUUCGGGCCCACAGCUUUUAGCCAACUAAGUCCUGUCCAAUCCUCAUUAAAUGUAAUGCAGAGAUUGCAGUCAAAGUUCUAUCCCCAAUCUACACCGGUCAAAGCCCAAGUGGAACCAUACUCAUCUAGUAAUUCGGCCCACUGUCACAGCCCAAUACUUCAUAGGCCCCAAAAUAAAGAUAAUAUCCACCCAAUGGGCUGGCCCAAUGAACCGGCCUAAUACUUUCAAGACCCACCUCAAUAUGUCUAAAGUAUUAUGGCCCAACAUUGCCCCCCAGUCUCUUAUUAAACAAGAGGUUUAAUGAAAGAGUAUAAGUGGAAUCGGUCCAGAAUAAAAGGAAUUAUAAUGAGAUCAACAAAGGCCCAAGAUACAACUUACCGAGGCCCAAUAGGUAAAUCUUAAACAACAAUUCAAAUAGAAACCGGAAGCCCAAUAGAGAAGCCCACUCCGGUUAACAAUGAAGGUCAAAACCGCACGCUACCUCUUCAAAUUCACAAUCACUGCUGGCAUUAAAUGAGUCGCCCUUGAACCUCGUGAAAAGAUGAAGAGAACUCUAGUAUAAAAGCUGCUUUCUCCCAAAUCUGACAGUUUUAUCAACUCAAUUCGAAAUUCGGAUAUUCCUUGCUCCUCUUCUUCUCCAAAUUUCUCUCUGCAACUAAUUAACAAUGGCUUCUCAGAAUACUAAUCAAAGUUCCCCACUUCGCAUAACCCCCAUUACCACUGUUCUUCCCAAUCUGAGCUCUAGCAAAAAAGAGACUCCGAGUUCAAAUCCCAAAUCUGCUGAUACUCACAGUCAGAAUCAACCACUAAAAACUAUUCCCAAUCCUUCAGAAUUCUUCAAGAGUGAAGAAUACUUCCCCCAUGCCAACACUCCUUCCACCGUCACUGAGAUUGAGUUGGGUAACCUUCGGACCCACUACCAGAUUCCGGACACCCAUAUGGUAAGGGCUCCAGCUCCCCACGAACGAAUGUACCAGCGACCCGAAGGCUGGACCGCCAUAUCGGUGACCCUUCUGGAAAAAGGAGUUCGCUUACCUCUCCAUGCCUUCGUCAUCAUUCUACUGGGGUUCGUAGGUGUGGGAUUCACCCAGUUAGUGCCGAACUCCUACAUACACAUCCUGGCAUUUAUCGCCUUCUGCCACGAACAAGGGAUUCCACCUGCUGUCGACUUCUUCUUCACUCUGUUCAUAGCCGGUAAAUCUCGAGAACGAGGCCUCAAGAUGCUGAGCAAACAAUCCCCCAAACCUAAUGCCAGGUUCGAGAAGCGACCACUAAUGGACACUCAUUCGAGCAACCAAGGAUGGCAUAAGGAGUGGUUUUUUGUCAAAGGACCCGAAGUCUCCUCCAUACCCGACUGGACCACUUCCGAUCGUAUCUCUGCAAACUUCGGAAAUAUUUCAACGGAACGAGUGAGAGAAAUGGCGAGCCUUCUAGAGAAGAUUCACAUUAAGGAAUGGAGCUUCGGAUUUCUGAGUAAACAAGCAUGGUUGUACGACCAUAACUGUAAGUCUCGAACCCACUUUAUUGUUUAACUCCCAAUUUCCAUCAGUAGUUAUCGUAAACAAUUGUUCCUCAUCUGUUGCAGUGUCUCUGAUCAAACAACGUCAAUCGACUGAAGGGAUCUAGACAGAUUUCUUUUUGGUACAUCUUCGCCGACCUCUGCCGAUGUACCAACUGAAGAGCUUCAAGCCACCGAAUCAACUCCUACUGAAGGGACAAGCCAACCUCGCCGAAGAAAGCAAGCUGGCCGAAAACCCAAACACACCCCCACACAAACUCACACCGAGUGCCUCCUCGAUAUGCCCUGUGAUGAACGGACCCGAAUCCUUCGCGCCAAAAAGAGGAAAACCCAAGCAAAUUCUCCAGCCUCCGAAGAACCACAAGUACCUCCAACAGAGACCGAUCCUCCGCCAACCACCCCGGUUGAAAUCGUUGAUUCUGACGAAGAGCCCGAGGAACAAGUAGAGCGAACACCCAAACAUGAUCGCAAAAGAAAACCAAACUCCUCGGAAUCUAGGCUCGAAGCCAUGGGAUCCCCCACUCUGGCCAGAACCCGAAGAGAAUUUCCCAUUUGAGCUCUACAACUCCUUCGUCUGUAAUACCGACGACCACCGGUUCGGCAACAGCUCUAUCAUGGACCUGAUCAACGAGGGAAUGAAGUACCAAGCUAGAGUAAGCUUAACUUAUCCAUUUACAUCUCGGCCCAUUAAUUUUGAACUGAUAGACUAACACUGAUCAUCCGCAGGCAAACACUGUCUUCGGACGCCUCCGUCCCAAAUACCAAGAGGCCGAAGCCGAAGAGAAAGCCGCUCGAAGAGAGAAUACCCUGCUUAAGUCUGCUUUGGCGAAAGAUAGAAGUAGUCUCAAAGUUGCUCUUUACGACAAUGAGUGCCUUCAGAAAGACCUUGCCCAAACCAAAGAAGAUUUGAAGACGUCCCGGGCCACUCAUCAAGUCAUCACUGAUAUAAAUAUCGAUUUUCUGAAGAAAAACGAAAUUUUGGCGAAGAAAAUCGAAGAUCUGGCCCAAUCCAACUCAGUUCUGUCGAAGCAAAAUAAAGAUAUCCAAGCUAAAGAUGCAGAGCAAAUGGCCCAUCGUCAAAAGCUUGAAGAGGAACUUCGAGAACUCCAGACUCUUAGGGAUUUGGGCCCACCAUUAACUGAUCGGCUUCGCAAGGAGAUUGAAGCAAAUUACAGGAAAUCCACCGAGCUGAACAAUGAAGUUGUCCACAUGUACUCUGAAGGGUACGAGGUCUGCCGAAGUAAAUACAAAGCCAAACUUGUAGUGGCCAAAGUAAACCCGGCUCUCCUCGACUCUUCGGACAGCGAGGACAAUAAGGAAGCUUAAAGAUAUCAUCCGAAGCUUUAGGACUCCCUGAAAAGACAUUUCUCCUUUGUAAACAGUUAGAUAUCAAUGAGAUGAUUAAUAAAUUCUUAUCCUUAUUACACCUUUGACCAUUUCUUGUCAAUAAUUCAUCAUCAAUCAACGUGAAAAAUGUAUAAUCUUAAAUUGUUAGUCAAUAACUAAGCAAGUCAUAUAACAGAUAAGAUCAAGUAAUAAUGUGACCCGAAUUCAACACUUAAAAAUCAGGUAAUAAAGUAAUGCAAUACUUAUUCGUUACCAAAAUGAGAGGUAGAUCUGCUUCAUAGGGAAUUUGUUUACCACGAAGGGCCUAACAAACCCACAAGAUGACAUUUGUCUACCACGAAGGGCCUGACAAAGUCCAAAGGAUGACAUUUGCCUACCACGAAGGGUCUAACAAAGUCUAAAGGACCACCUGCCAAUAAGGCUACCAUCGAAUGGCCAACGAGUCCACCCGAACCUCCUAACACCGAUGACGUUUGCCUACCACGAAGGGCCUGACAAACUCAUAAGGACCACCUGCCAAUAAGGCUACCAUCGAAUGGCCAGCGAGUCCACCCGAACCUCCUAACACCGAUGACGUUUGCCUACCACGAAGGGCCUAACAAACUCAUAAAGACCACCUGCCAAUAAGGCUACCAUCGAAUGGCCAGCGAGUCCACCCGAACCUCCUAACACCGAAGUGGCAUCUGCCCGUGCAUGUCAGACUAUGGAUGAGCUACCGAAGUCCCUCAUGAAUACUUCAAACUUCGAUCCCAUGAGCUGGCGUCUGUUAACAUGAUCCCUAGGCAAUGCACCCAGUAUGACUACCCCCCAGACAGCAAGAGGUAUAUGAGAUAAAAUCGAAUAUAGCCUUUUGGUGGCUGAUGUGGGAUCGAACUAUUUAGCUGACACAAAUACCCACAUGAACCCUCCGAAGAACAUCUGCAGCUUCGGACGACACCCAAAAUUCCUCAAUAAUGGGAGAUGAGUCCAAAGUAGAAUACCCGUCUGCAAACAACGCCCACGAAUUCUGAUUCUGUCGAAGCACUGCAACGGUUUUGUCGGACUCUUCAGCUUCUCCAUAACUAUCGUCAUCUUAUUUCUUCAUCCCUAAGGACACGGCUUACAUAGCAAACCGGGUGCUGCUUACCCCCAACUUCUCGCACCAAAACUGCUCCCACUGCCAACGAACUAGCUGCCAGAUACAAAUAAUAUAGCUCAGCAGGAGCGGGUUUCACCAACAAAGGCACCGAAGAAAGAUAGGUCGUUUAUUCCCUGGAAGGCGUCUUCACAUCCCGAAGUCCACUGGAACGUCUUAGCAUUCUUCGGCCCUUUCCAUGUACCAAAGAUUGACAAACAUCUUUCUGCCGAUUUGGACAUAAACCUUCUCAAAGUCUUUUCUGAAUAGUCUUGUCUUUUCCAUUCUAACCUGCAGCUUUAGACGGGCAUCUCCGAAGACGAGUAUCCACAGGGCGGUGUGCCCUCAGUGGAUUCUCAAGAGUGCGGCUUCUGGGUCUGCUUCGACCAUAUUCCCGAAGACCAACAGGACGGAGUACCCUUCUUCAAUCAAUCAGGAAAAUGGUUGUUGGGUCUUCAUCUACUCUGCUUCGACCAUAAUCCCGAAGACCAAUAGGGCGGAAUACCCUUCUCGGUCAAUCAAUCAGGAAAAUGGCUGUUGGGUCUGCUUCGAUCCUGAGGAAGGCCUCGAGACAUGUCUUUAAAGUGUAGACUUCUUUCUAACUUGAUCGGUCUGUCAGUCUGACCACUUCGGUAUAGGAUUCUAAGCAGUAUGCCUUCUACCCUUUUCCGACCAUGGUCAGGUCUUCUCUCGGCAGCAAAAAUCAAUCUUCUUCUAGCAUCACCUUGGGCUCUCGAACGAGAACCCUCAGAAACCUGCUUGGAAGCAGUACCAGCAUGAGCACUCUUUGAAGGACCCAAUCAAUCCUUGACAGAUACUCAUUGUGUAGACGAAGUCAUAGCCAUCAGCUAUCCUUUAGAAGUAACUGUUCUACUCUUCUUCACCAUGGAUUCCGACGUAGAGCAGCUACAAUUUGUGAUUGAAAACUUCAAGAACACUAGAAUUGCCCUCCUUCUAGCGCCAAUGUUAACGCCAAGAUCUUUCCCCACGUCCCAAUCACCAAGACGCGUUCGAUAUUCUGCACAGUUCAACAAGUCAACACCAAAAGCUUGACGACUUGACUGUCGGGGGAUAGCUUCGGCGUGAGAGUCAGUAUCGGCGAUCACAAGGUUAACAAUGGAGGAAAAUAAUGUCUAGUGACUUGAGAGCAAUAAUUGAUUAGUUACCUUUCACCGUGUGUCAUCCUUGCUUUAUAUCUCCAAAGUCCGGUUUGUCCUGUAUGCAACUGACUUUUCGGGCCCACAGCUUUUAGCCGACUAAGCCCUGUCCAAUCCUCAUUAAAUGCAAUGCAGAGAUGACAGUCAAAGUUCUAUCCCCAAUCUACACCGGUCAAAGCCCAAGUGGAACCAUACUCAUCUAGUAAUUCGGCCCACUGUCACAGCCCAAUACUUCAUAGGCUCCAAAAUAAAGAUAAUAUCCACCCAAUGGGCUGGCCCAAUGAACCGGCCUAAUACUUUCAAGACCCACCUCAACAUGUCUAAAGUAUUAUGGCCCAACACAUCCCUUUAUAUAAUUUCUUUUUGGAAAAUAGAGCAUGUCAGGGGCUGAGCCUCAUUCUUGUUUUGAAGAUCUUAAGGUUAUUCAUAAGCCUUUUCUACAAGCCUACAGUUGAGCUUCGUGAGUUAAGAAACUUAAUUAGGUAAAUCCUGCAAAUACUAGACAAAAUUGAAUUCUUGAAUCUGGUUGAAUUAUAGUAUAGAGUACCUAUUCAUCCUUAUGCAGCCUUUUCCAGUUGUCAUCUAUGCAAAAAAGAAUAGAUUUUCUUCUAUUGAUCUUUCAUACUCCAAUUCGAAAUCCAUAAAUUUGCAUUUAGAAGGUCCUAAAUGGAAUAGUGGGAUCGAUUUUCUACUGAUAUGUCAUAUGUAUGUUUAGAUGACUUGAAGUUUAGAAGUUGGUGUGAGCUUUGUGUACAUUACACAACAAUUGUCUGUGGUCUACUAGGUUAUAGGCAUAUAUAAGUAAAGUAAGUGUUGAGACCUUAUAAGAAUGCAACCUAGGGGGGGAUGUUUUUAGCCCAGGGAAAAUUUUCACUAGAGAUGUCACUGUCUUCUGAGACAAACUGUAUUGGAUUUCUUAUGUUUAUGUAAAGCAACUUGGGAUGUGGGAUCCAAUUGAUCUUAAGAUCCAAAGCCAAUCAAUAAACAGUUGAAGUUGCCAGUUUGGAGGCCCUGCAGGCUGUUUGAGUGUAUGGAUCUUGUCCUUUUAGAUUUAUGAUGAAGUGUCUAAUGCGCUGAGAAGCUUGGAUAGUUCAUAGGAAAGGAAAGGAAAGUAUCUCAAUAUGUAUGUAAGUGGUAAAAGUUAAGCACCUACAUAUUUAUAAUCUGUAAAGUUUCUUCGUGUGUUUUUUUUAUGUGUAUAUGUAUACGUUUCUAACCUUCUUAGCUGAAGUUAUCAACUCCCAAAAAAAAACCUCAGGUAAAAGCCACUAGUAAAAUAGUGAUCACAGUAUAUUCUGUAGUGAAACUCAUAGACCCAAUCCUUGCUCUGUCACUCAAAAAUGGUGGCACAACACCCUUUCUGAUAGGGAUCAACCUAGUGCAGCGGUACUAGAAUUCAUAACCUACAGGCUAGGCACUCAUAUAUUAUCACCUUUUAGAUAAAUUAGUAUUUUGCUCUCAACUUAAAAGGUCCCUCACUUUGAAUGUCUUGUGCAUCUCUUAUCAUGAUGAUCAGAAAGGAAAUUCACACAUCUAAGGGUCAUAAGCUUAAGUAUCCCAAAGGGUGGCAAAUCUAUUUCAUUUCUAUCAGGGUCAGGAAUUGCAAGGCAUUCCCUUAUAAUAGGAGAAUCAAGAUGUGAUUGAGUUAAAUGAACACUAAAAAUGCACCAUUAACUCUAUAAUGCCUUCAAGAUGUCACUUGCUUAGCUGUGGAACAUAGGGAAGCACGAGACGUGAUCCAGAAGUUCAAGUAAAAGGGUGUGGCAUGUAUAUCCUUAAUUAGUUGGGAUAUCUGGUGUUGGGAAUCAUGCAUGCCCAAAUUUUAGGCAGUUAAAAUAGAAACUUUAGUUGUCUUUCAAAUUGUAAACCAUAUUAGGAAGUAUAAGCAAUGAAUUUGAUUAGGAUGAUGUUAUCAGCACCUCAAUUUCUAAGUCAACGAUAUCAGAUCUGUUAAUCCGUGUUUGCUCUUUAAGGUCUAUUGUAUACUUUUUACUCCAUAUAUUUUUCCUGCUUUCACAUGGAAUACAGAUCUUAUGAUGAUUUAUGAACAUGUUCAUUUUAAUCAAGCACCGUCAUACAUAAACCGUAAACAUUAGUUGUGGGGUUUUGGAUUAUGUCAUGCAAGGCUCCUUUUAUACCUUCCAUGUGCAAAUGAUUAACCCAAUGAAGUCAUUGAAGCUUUUAAUGAUUAUGAAUCUUUCUUUUCCCAGUAACAUUAUCAAAUGAACCAUGAGAGUGGAUAGCUCAUGUUUGAGCCUCGCACUCAUUAAUUUGCUUAUACGUAAGCUGCAUCUUGCAUUGCAGAAGGGAGAUGAUUCAGUGGAUCCUGACGGAUUUUUAAAGGAAAAUGGGAGAUCUUUUUUUGUCAUCAGUGUUUUAAAUCAUCAACUAAUCGUUGUCAUCCAUGGUAUGCAACUUCACGCCCAAGGUAUACAGCUGGCUUUCGGAGAGCAUUUUGUCAUGCAUAGUAGCAGCUCUGCGCUCAUUGUUUCAUGUUUACGACAUGCUUUCUUGUUGAUCCAUAACUAGUUAAAAAACAAAAUCAUGGGGAAAAGUAGGCAUAUCUCUGAAUAGAA